CUGGGGAGAAGAAAAUGUUCUUGCCAGGUGCCUGGGCAGACGCUUGCCUGUAAAACCUGAAGGCAAAGUCCGUGUUGCUGGGGACUAUCCGUUGGCAGAACCCAAGAGGAUCUCCCUCAUGGGAAUGCCGCUCCUGGAGUACCUGAGACAGAGAUUACCCUUGAUCCGAAGAUGUGAAUUCUGCCCAGCACUAAGCUCUGACAGCCAGAGGCAGGGCAAGGAAGCUUUGGGGAACACCUCUUGUUAUCAGCCAUGCUACCCAGCCUACUGGACUCUGCUUAAGCUGCUACCAGGACACUGACCUUUUCUGUAGGAGCUAUCCUCCUGGUGUCAGAAGUCAUAAGAAGUCACAAGCCUCCACCACCCUUGGGAGUCCCCACUUCCCAGACUCCACCUGCCCCUCAAGCAGCAUAGCUGAGAG